ensembl:ncRNA W02F12.9 ncRNA
AAUGACUCGAUGUCUGGGAUUCCAGACCUGAAAAUUUUUAUUUUCAUUCAAACAGUCAAAUUUGAAAUCUUACUGUUUUCCUUCAUAGUUUAUCACUACAGCAGCUGGAAUGGAAAACAGCAUCAAAGCGAUUGCAUUGAGAUU